rnacentral:rRNA from 1 species
UACGUAGGGUGCAAGCGUUGUCCGGAUUUAUUGGGCGUAAAGGGCUCGUAGGCGGCGUGUCGCGUCGGGAGUGAAAGCCCGUUGCUUAACGGCGGGUUGGCUUUCGGUACGGGCAUGCUGGAGUGCGGCAGGGGAGACUGGAAUUCCUGGUGUAGCGGUGAAAUGCGUAGAUAUCAGGAGGAACACCUGUGGCGAAAGCGGCUCACUGGACCAUUACUGACGCUGAGACUCGAAAGCUAGGGGAGCAAACAGG